rnacentral:rRNA from 1 species
UACGUAGGGGGCAAGCGUUGUCCGGAAUCAUUGGGCGUAAAGCGCGUGUAGGCGGUCCGGUAAGUCGGUUGUGAAAGUCCAGGGCUCAACCCUGGGAUGCCGACCGAUACUGUCGGACUAGAGUUCGGAAGAGGCGAGUGGAAUUCCCGGUGUAGCGGUGAAAUGCGCAGAUAUCAGGAAGAACACCGAUGGCGAAGGCAGCUCUCUGGGACGGUACUGACGCUGAGACGCGAAAGCGUGGGGAGCGAACAGG